rnacentral:lncRNA from 1 species
AAAAGUGGAAAAAGUUGGUAAAAAUGAGGUAUGGUGCUCAAAAGUGGCACCUGCUACUUAUAGACCUCUGCUGGGCUGUCAUGUUCGCUAGGCGAGCAGAAUGGCUCGCCUAGCGAGGGUCUAAUAUGGGCACAUAAGGCACCUGCGCCCAGAGAAACAGGGUCUGCUGAACUGUCAUGUUCGCCUAGCGAACAUACCUUCGCCUAGCGAAGGACACGCUUCAACCUUCGCCCCAGCGAGGUUGAGAGGUUUUGCUACUGGAAUGCUCGCUGGGGACUCGCUAGAGCUUCGCCUAGCGAGUGAGUGCUGGCUGCGCUUUUCACCAAAACAGAAUGAACUCGCUACCACCUUCGCCUUCAGCUCGCCUGGCGAAUUAAUUUGACAAUUUACUGGAGCUUUUCGCCUGGAGCUCGCCUAGUGAAGCAGUGCUUCGCCACAGCCUCGCCUAGCGAGCAGGCUGAUGAAAUGCUUGUAUUCUUUGGUUCCUUUGCCAAUUUUCUUGUGUCUUCAUUUUCAAUUAGUUCAUUCCUUUUUCCUGCACAAUAACACACAAAUCAAAGGCACCAAGCUUGUUUAUCAAUGUAAUGCAUUCCAUGUAAAACAAAUGUGG